rnacentral:tRNA from 1 species
AUUGGAGUGGCAGAGGCUGGUAAUUGCAAAAGAUCUAAGACCUUUACAUCGAGAGUUCAAAUCCCUCCUCCAAUU